AUUGAACGCUGGCGGCAGGCCUAACACAUGCAAGUCGAGCGGAGCGGCGGACGGGUGAGUAAUGCCUAGGAAUCUGCCUGGUAGUGGGGGAUAACGUCAGGAAACGGGCGCUAAUACCGCAUACUAUCAGAUGAGCCUAGGUCGGAGUAGCUAGUUGGUGGGGUAAAGGCCUACCAGGGCGACGAUCCGUAACUGUUCUGAGAGGAUGACCAGCCACACUGGAACUGAGACACGGUCCAGACUCCUACGGGAGGCAGCAGUGGGGAAUAUUGCACAAUGGGCGCAAGCCUGAUGCAGCCAUGCCGCGUGUAUGAAGAAGGCCUUCGGGUUGUAAAGUACUUUCAGCGAGGAGGCGUUACUCGCAGAAGAAGCACCGGCUAACUCCGUGCCAGCCGCCGCGGUAAUUC
rnacentral:rRNA from 1 species